rnacentral:rRNA from 1 species
ACGGGUGAGUAACACGUGGGCAACCUACCCUAUAGUUUGGGAUAACUCCGGGAAACCGGGGCUAAUACCGAAUAAUCUCUUUUGCUUCAUGGCAAGAGACUGAAAGACGGUUUCGGCUGUCCCUAUUGGAUGGGCCCGCGGCGCAAUAACUAGUUGGUGAGGUAACGGCUCACCAAGGCGACCAUGCCUAACCCACCUGAAAGGGUGAUCGGCCACACUGGGACUGAAACACGGCCCAAACUCCUACCGGAGGCAGCAGUAGGGAAUCUUCCACAAUGGGCGAAAGCCUGAUGGAACAACCCCCCGUGAGUGAAGAAGGUUUUCGGAUCCUAAAACUCUGUUGUAAGGGAAGAACAAGUACAGUAAUAACUGGCUGUACCUUGACGGUACCUUAUUAAAAAGCCACGGCUAACUACCUGCCAGCAGCCGCGGUAAUACCUAAGUGGCAAGCGUUGUCCGGAAUUAUUGGGCGUAAAGCGCGCGCAGGCGGUCCUUUAAGUCUGAUGUGAAAGCCCACGGCUCAACCGUGGAGGGUCAUUGGAAACUGGGGGACUUGAGUGCAGAAGAGGAAAGUGGAAUUCCAAGU